rnacentral:rRNA from 1 species
CGUAGGGUGCGAGCGUUGUCCGGAAUUAUUGGGCGUAAAGGGCUCGUAGGCGGUCUGUCGCGUCGGGAGUGAAAACGCCGUGCUUAACACGGCGCUUGCUUUCGAUACGGGCAGACUAGAGGGAUGCAGGGGAGAACGGAAUUCCUGGUGUAGCGGUGAAAUGCGCAGAUAUCAGGAGGAACACCGGUGGCGAAGGCGGUUCUCUGGGCAUGUCCUGACGCUGAGGAGCGAAAGUGUGGGGAGCGAACAGGAUUAGAUACCCUGGUAGUCCACACCGUAAACGUUGGGCGCUAGGUGUGGGAUCCAUUCCACGGGUUCCGUGCCGCAGCUAACGCAUUAAGCGCCCCGCCUGGGGAGUACGGCCGCAAGGCUA